rnacentral:rRNA from 1 species
AAGGGCACCACAAGAACGCGUGGAGCAUGUGGCUUAAUUUGACUCAACGCGGGAAAUCUUACCGGGUCCGGACACACUGAGGAUUGACAGACAAAUACACACACUUUUACGGUGUGCAUGAAAUAUGCUAGUUCUUUCAUGAUUAUGUGAUAGGUGGUGCAUGGCCGUUCUUAGUUCGUGGAGUGAUCUGUCUGCUUAAUUGCGUUUCACUAAAGGCACAUACACAUAAUAUUGAUGUGUUGUGUGUAUAAUUUAUAAUUAUACGCAUACACACAUAUUAUAUUGUGCUUUGAAAGCAACGAACGUGACCGCAACCUCUUGUUGCCUGUAUAUAUGUGUAUUUUAUACACACCACAGGCUAUUAUAACUAGAGGGACCGCUGUUACUUUCUUUUAAACCAGAGGAAGGUUGCGGCAAUAACAGGUCUGUGAUGCCCUUAGAUGUUCCGGGCUGCACACGUGCUACAAUGAUCAUUGCAGUGCGCAUCUCAUUUUGUUAUACACUGCUUGUGCGUAUGUGCAUCACAUAUAUUUAUAUGUGUGUGUGUAUGUAUUGCACGCAGUAAAGCCUACUUCGAAAGUUGUGGGUAAUCAAUUUGAAGUAAUGAUUUCUCCAAAUAUAUACUGCACACUCAUAUACAGUGUCUUAUGUCCAUGAAAAUAUUUUAUUUUUGUGUGUGCAUUCGAUGCUCGUAUGUGCAAUUGUCAAUUCAUGGUGGGGACAGACCAUUGUUAAUUGUUGGUCUCGGUCUUAACUAGGAAUGCCUUGUACGGGUCUUUGGUUCAACAAACCACCCGGAAUACGUCCCUGCCCUUUGUACACACCGCCCGUCGCUCUUACCGAUGGACUUCUCUGUGAGUUUGAGGGACUGGAUUUUAUAUCUAUGGAAACUCAAACGAACAGUGUGGUCUAAAGGAAAGAGAAGUCGUAACAAGGCAUCCGUAGGUGAACCU